rnacentral:rRNA from 2 species
CAGUAACGGCGAGUGAAGCGGCAACAGCUCAAAUUUGAAAUCUGGCUCCUUCGGGGUCCGAAUUGUAAUUUGUAGAGAGUGCUUCGGGCGAGACCGCGGUCUAAGUCCAUUGGAACAUGGUGUCAUAGAGGGUGAGAAUCCCGUAUGCGACCGUGGCUCGAGCCCAUGUGAAGCCUCUUCGACGAGUCGAGUUGUUUGGGAAUGCAGCUCAAAAUGGGUGGUAAAUUUCAUCUAAAGCUAAAUACUGGCUGGAGACCGAUAGCGCACAAGUAGAGUGAUCGAAAGAUGAAAAGCACUUUGGAAAGAGAGUCAAACAGUACGUGAAAUUGUUGAAAGGGAAGCGCUUGCAACCAGACCUGCCCGUAGGCGAUCAGCCGCUGUUCUCAGCGGUGUACUCGCUCUGCGAUCAGGCCAGCAUCGGUUUCGGCGGUCGGAUAAAGGCCUUGGGAAUGUAGCUUCCCUUCGGGGGAGUCUUAUAGCCCUUGGUGCAAUGCGGCCAGCCGGGACCGAGGACCGCGCUUCGGCUAGGAUGCUGGCGUAAUGGUUGUAAGCGACCCGUCUUGAAACACGGACCAAGGAGUCUAACAUCUAUGCGAGUGUUUGGGUGUCAAACCCAUACGCGGAAUGAAAGUGAACGGAGGUGAGAACCCUUAAGGGCGCAUCAUCGACCGAUCCAGAUGUCUUCGGAUGGAUUUGAGUAUGAGCAUAGCUGUUGGGACCCGAAAGAUGGUGAACUAUGCCUGAAUAGGGUGAAGCCAGAGGAAACUCUGGUGGAGGCUCGCAGCGGUUCUGACGUGCAAAUCGAUCGUCAAAUUUGGGUAUAGGGGCGAAAGACUAAUC